CGAGUCUCAUCCUCACUAACUGACUUCAUACUGCCGUCCUGUAAACACAGAAACAUGUGAAUUAGUGGAUUUACGCACCAAGCGUCAUGAAAAUAGCUUAGAAAAACGACUCAGCUGCUGAUGUGAGCUAUUGUCAGCGUCGAAUGGGUCGCUCCAGUUUGCCCGGGCUGUCCAAUGGCAGGGAGGCACAGCGAUGGGAGCCCCCUAUUGGCUCCCGACGUGAUCGAUCCGGGGGCUGAUGGAUCGCUUUUAGGCCACAUUGGCGAGGAGACGCACAAACAAAACAUCAUCCGCGGCGCGUCUAGCCAUCGAUCAUCUGCCCCCGGUGCCAGAAACGGUGUCAUAACAUGAUAAUGCGGCUUCACACAUUCGGCGGUGAUUCCUGCGGUAAAAAAAAAAAGCCGAGCUGGGAUCCGAUGGGACGAUUUUACAAGCAUGAAAUGACGAUCAAAGCCUCCCGCAGUCCGAGAGCUCCGGGGCUGCGGGCAGCACAGGAGCCACGAGGCGCGGACUUUUACGCACAGAGACCACGGAUCAAAAAAUAAACCGAAGAGCGCGUCAACUUUACCAGUUCUGUUAUUUAUUGGGGGUAACUCUGUCCUCUGGGAGUUUUGGAUCCUGCAGUUUGGUCCAAA
ensembl:lncRNA